rnacentral:tRNA from 1 species
GGCAGCGUGGCCUAGUGAAAAGGGCAUGGACCUGGGGGGUCAGAGGACCUGGGUUCCAAUCUCGACUCUGCCA